GAGAUGGCUGAGCAUGGGCUAGAAGGAGAGAUGUGAAGGACCCAGAACUGAGCUGCGGGAGUGGGCCAGGGGCACGAGGAAGCUCGUGGAGGAGGAAGAGCACCGCGCAGGCCAGGGAGGAAGUCAGGACAGGAGGGUGAGGUCAGAGCGGGUCAGAUGGCAGAGGCGGUGGUGGUUUGGAGAUAUGGAGACAGCCCUGUCCGCGGAACACCUGCUGAGAUGAUGAAAGGUCAGGGGGCACCUGGAAGCAGUGACUUUCGCCAAAAUGGUAACCCCCAAAGUAGCGUGUUUUGUUGUGAGCUCAGACAGCCUGGAUUCACUCCAGCAUGCUGGGGACCAAGAAGCUGGCAUUCGGGGAGCAUAAAGGCAGGUCCAGAAAGAAGUUGGGGGAAAGAUUGGCGAAUGUGUCGCAAGACUGGCAGCUGGGAGAGGGAGUAGGAUGAGAUGUUGAGGGGGAAGCAGAGGGGCUCCUGAAGACAACAGCAGGAGAAAGAGUGGAAGAGGGGCCGAGCCAGUCCAGUGGCACCAGGCCUGGAGAGAGACACUGGAGUGUGGGCAGCGGCGGAAGCUAUCUUCAGGAUAGGAGCUGGGUCGGGCGAAUCGAUGGAAAUAGAAACAGGUGGUAGUGAAGAGGGGAAAGAAUGUCAUGAACUUGCUGGGGCUCCACGCAGGUAAAGGGGGC
rnacentral:lncRNA from 1 species